rnacentral:rRNA from 1 species
AGCGAACGCUGGCGGCAGGCCUAACACAUGCAAGUCGAACGAACCUUUCGGGGUUAGUGGCGGACGGGUGAGUAACACGUGGGAACGUGCCUUUAGGUUCGGAAUAACUCAGGGAAACUUGUGCUAAUACCGAAUGUGCCCUUCGGGGGAAAGAUUAAUCGCCUUUAGAGCGGCCCGCGUCUGAUUAGCUAGUUGGUUGAGGUAAUGGCUCACCAAGGCGACGAUCAGUAGCUGGUCUGAGAGGAUGAUCAGCCACAUUGGGACUGAGACACGGCCCAAACUCCUACGGGAGGCAGCAGUGGGGGAUCUUGCGAAAUGGGCUAAAGCAUGACGCAGCCAUGCCGGGUGAAUGAUGAUGGUCUUAGGAAUGUAAAAUUCUUUCACCGGGGACGAUAAUGACGGUACCCGGAGAAGAAGCCCCGGCUAACUUCGUG